GAAGAAUGUUGAUUGCUAGCUGAGUAGUUUACAUAGUUAUUAGAGGCGCCGCAAGGCUUCAACUCUAGCUCCUCUAGAAUUUGUAACGCUCUAGAAUGACCUGCCUUCUUUAUUUCCACCUUCCGCUAGCAUUUCAUUGACAAAAAGUACUACUACUCAUCUCGAAAUUUAUUGAUCUACCUGAUAUUGAUACACUGGGAAAUUUUCAAAUUUUCAAAAUUAGUAUUGCUGGUGAUAACUAGUUAUCAAAAUCUUAUCAAACUACCAUACUUAGGAUCACAAACCUCCCAUAUUUCCAUUUUC
rnacentral:misc_RNA from 1 species